GGAAUGAAGACUCUGGGUUUCUGGCAAGGGAAUACAUUUGCCUCUUGACAUCUCAGGCCAUUACGGAGAGCAUGCGACCCUACCCUGCACGGUGCUGUCAGCUGUGACAUGGGACCUGCAACCCUCUCUGGGGUUCCAUUCCUGAUUCAAGACACGAGAGGAGGCACUGUCACCCCUGUGACCCGGCUCGUCAGCACUGACCAGAACAUCUUCUUCCUGAAGGCAGAUGUCAGAUCCAAAUCCCCGCGACUCCCAGCCUCCAUGGGAAGAAGAGUGGUACCUAGUGAGCUUCAAGGACAGCCAAGGGCAAGUUCUGGAACAGGUGGCAGAGCCUAGGUCACUGGAAUCUAUGGAGCAGCAUGCUUGGUCCCCAAACUGCAGAAACAAGUUUUGGAGAGCCAGCAAGGAGAGCUGAACGGGAGGAGAGCUUUGCACAUGACGCCCAUGCUUCCUGCUAGACUUGACACUGGUCCAGUGGUAGUCAAGAGAUCUACUCAGCUCUGAUUCUACGGCAAAGCACCAGGUUCUGUUAUUCGACGCGUUCUCACGA